rnacentral:rRNA from 1 species
CAGUAGCCGCGGUAAUACGUAGGUGGCAAGCGUUGUCCGGAAUUAUUGGGCGUAAAGCGCGCGCAGGUGGUUUAAUAAGUCUGAUGUGAAAGCCCACGGCUCAACCGUGGAGGGUCAUUGGAAACUGUUAAACUUGAGUGCAGGAGAGAAAAGUGGAAUUCCUAGUGUAGCGGUGAAAUGCGUAGAGAUUAGGAGGAACACCAGUGGCGAAGGCGGCUUUUUGGCCUGUAACUGACACUGAGGCGCGAAAGCGUGGGGAGCAAACAGGAUUAGAGACCCCGGUAGUCCCUGUCUCUUAUAC